ACUACCAGUACAUGAUUAUAUAUUAUAUGUUGUUUUUGUUGUGGUUUGGGUUUUAGUCUCGGGUCCCUGCUGAGAUGUGAAGUGGCAGCCUAAGCCCUCUGUGUUUUGCGAACGAGUGGGAGGUGUACCGAGGAGCUGUGCGUACUCAGGCUCAUCCGCCACACAUCUGACCCUGCCCUAAUAAACCCUCGCUGGCUGUAUCCCCUGAGGGCUGAUAUCUGAAGAGGCAGGAGGACAGUGGGGAGAAGAGCUGCAAGCUGAGGGAGGGUUAGUGCAGGGGGGCAGAUAGAAGCCGAGUGUCCAGUUAGCAUUGCCCAGGCUGGGCCUAACAGGCCAGAAGAGCUCCAGAGCUGGUCGGCUCCACCGCCCUGAUCUCGCUUUGCCGUGCUUUCUCUCUCACCCAGGGACCCUAUUGUCUCCCCCCUUUCUCUCUCUCUCUCUCUCUCCCUUUUAUCUGCCUUCUUGCCAAAGUUAUUCCAGUUUUAGAAUAGCUGUCUACCAGACGCGGGGGAAGCUACGGCCACGCUAAUCUGCUUUCAGGUCAAAGCUGCUCCCGGCUUUGUCCCAGGGGCAGCCGGGUUUGUGUUGGCCCUGGAGUGCCGAAUUCCCAGCAGCCCCUGUGGGAGGCCAGCUCCCGCCAACACGGACACGCACUCUCGCACGCUCGCAGCGCCCUGCCUGGCCGCCCAGGCCACGUCCCCUGAAUGGGAGUUCAGCUCUGCAGAACCAAAUUAGCCCAAUAAACUUGUUUGCAUUCAUCGCCUGA